AAACAGCUAUGGGUCAAGUCUGAUAUCUUUAGGAGGGGCGAAGCUCCUCUUAUUGUGAGGGCGAGUUAUAUAACACCAUAGGACUGGCCGUCCCAUAUGAAAAGAUUAUAUUAGAAUUGAAUGAAGCUUUGUUUAUAUAUUGAUAAUGACAGUAUAUAUAUCGUGUCUUGACUAAUUGCGUGCCAGCAGUCGCGGUAAUACGUAAGAGACUAGUGUUAUUCAUCUUAAUUAGGUUUAAAGGGUACCCAGACGGUCAAUAUAGCUUAUAAAAUGUUAGUACUUGACUAGAGUUUUAUGUAAGAGGGCAGUACUUGAGGAGGAGAGAUGAAAUUUCGUGAUACCAAAGGGACUCUGUAAAGGCGAAGGCAGCCCUCUAUGUAAAAACUGACGUUGAAGGACGAAGGCACAGAGAACAAACAGGAUUAGAUACCCAAGUAGUCUUUGCAGUAAAUGAUGAAUGCCAUAGGUUAGAUGGGUGGGCUCGUAUAGUUGAGUUAGUUUAGCAAACUAAUGAUCUAGACGAGCCCACCGUAUAUUUGGUCUAUAAAUGAAAGUGUAAG
rnacentral:rRNA from 1 species